rnacentral:rRNA from 1 species
GAUUAUAAUUUAAGGUCUGGCCUGCCCACUGAGUAUUUGAAUGGCCGUGGUAUUUUGACCGUGCUAAGGUAGCAUAAUCAUUAGUUUUUUAAUUAAAAACUGGAAUGAAAGGGUUAGAUAAGAAAAUAACUGUCUCUAUUUAAUUUUAUUAGAAUUUUAUUUUUAAGUUAAAAAGCUUAAUUAAUAUUAAAAGACGAGAAGACCCUAUAGAGUUUAAUUUUAAAAUAAAUUUUUUAUUUUAGUAUUUUUUUAUUCAUUUUUUUUUAUAAUUUAAUUGGGGUGAUUAAAAAAUUUAAUUAACUUUUUUUGUAUUUUAACAUUAAUGUAUGAUUUAUUGAUCCAAUUUUUUUGAUUAUAAGAUAAAAUUACCUUAGGGAUAACAGCGUAAUUUUUUUAGAAAGUUCAUAUUGAAAAAAAAGAUUGCGACCUCGAUGUUGGAUUAAAGUUAAUUUUUGGUGUAGAAGCUAAAAUAUUGGGUC